UAAACUUGUGAUUGAUUCUAAGCCUUCGU
rnacentral:piRNA from 1 species